rnacentral:tRNA from 1 species
GGAGAUAUGGCUCAAAUGGCAGAGCAGUAGCCUCUAGCAAAAAAGCCAAGCCAGAGCUCCAGGCCCUGAGUUCAAGCCUCAGUAUGUACA